GACUUCUUAGCUCAGUGGUAGAGCGUGUGAUUCCAGUCGCUUACGUAAGCAGAAAUUCCACAAGGUCAUCCGUUCAAUCCGGGUAGAGGUCA